GGGACACGUGGUAUCCUGUCUGAAUAUGGGGGGACCAUCCUCCAAGGCUAAAUACUCCUGACUGACCGAUAGUGAACCAGUACCGUGAGGGAAAGGCGAAAAGAACCCCGGCGAGGGGAGUGAAAAAGAACCUGAAACCGUGUACGUACAAGCAGUGGGAGCCUCUUAAUGGGGUGACUGCGUACCUUUUGUAUAAUGGGUCAGCGACUUAUAUUCUGUAGCAAGGUUAACCGAAUAGGGGAGCCGAAGGGAAACCGAGUCUUAACUGGGCGUUAAGUUGCAGGGUAUAGACCCGAAACCCGGUGAUCUAGCCAUGGGCAGGUUGAAGGUUGGGUAACACUAACUGGAGGACCGAACCGACUAAUGUUGAAAAAUUAGCGGAUGACUUGUGGCUGGGGGUGAAAGGCCAAUCAAACCGGGAGAUAGCUGGUUCUCCCCGAAAGCUAUUUAGGUAGCGCCUCGUGAAUUCAUCUCCGGGGGUAGAGCACUGUUUCGGCAAGGGGGUCAUCCCGACUUACCAACCCGAUGCAAACUGCGAAUACCGGAGAAUGUUAUCACGGGAGACACACGGCGGGUGCUAACGUCCGUCGUGAAGAGGGAAACAACCCAGACCGCCAGCUAAGGUCCCAAAGUCAUGGUUAAGUGGGAAACGAUGUGGGAAGGCCCAGACAGCCAGGAUGUUGGCUUAGAAGCAGCCAUCAUUUAAAGAAAGCGUAAUAGCUCACUGGUCGAGUCGGCCUGCGCGGAAGAUGUAACGGGGCUAAACCAUGCACCGAAGCUGCGGCAGCGACACUAUGUGUUGUUGGGUAGGGGAGCGUUCUGUAAGCCUGUGAAGGUGGCCUGUGAGGGUUGCUGGAGGUAUCAGAAGUGCGAAUGCUGACAUAAGUAACGAUAAAGCGGGUGAAAAGCCCGCUCGCCGGAAGACCAAGGGUUCCUGUCCAACGUUAAUCGGGGCAGGGUGAGUCGACCCCUAAGGCGAGGCCGAAAGGCGUAGUCGAUGGGAAACAGGUUAAUAUUCCUGUACUUGGUGUUACUGCGAAGGGGGGACGGAGAAGGCUAUGUUGGCCGGGCGACGGUUGUCCCGGUUUAAGCGUGUAGGCUGGUUUUCCAGGCAAAUCCGGAAAACCAAGGCUGAGGCGUGAUGACGAAGCACUACGGUGCUGAAGCGACAAAUGCCCUGCUUCCAGGAAAAGCCUCUAAGCAUCAGGUAACAUCAAAUCGUACCCCAAACCGACACAGGUGGUCAGGUAGAGAAUACCAAGGCGCUUGAGAGAACUCGGGUGAAGGAACUAGGCAAAAUGGUGCCGUAACUUCGGGAGAAGGCACGCUGAUAUGUAGGUGAAGCGACUUGCUCGUGGAGCUGAAAUCAGUCGAAGAUACCAGCUGGCUGCAACUGUUUAUUAAAAACACAGCACUGUGCAAACACGAAAGUGGACGUAUACGGUGUGACGCCUGCCCGGUGCCGGAAGGUUAAUUGAUGGGGUUAGCGGUAACGCGAAGCUCUUGAUCGAAGCCCCGGUAAACGGCGGCCGUAACUAUAACGGUCCUAAGGUAGCGAAAUUCCUUGUCGGGUAAGUUCCGACCUGCACGAAUGGCGUAAUGAUGGCCAGGCUGUCUCCACCCGAGACUCAGUGAAAUUGAACUCGCUGUGAAGAUGCAGUGUACCCGCGGCAAGACGGAAAGACCCCGUGAACCUUUACUAUAGCUUGACACUGAACAUUGAGCCUUGAUGUGUAGGAUAGGUGGGAGGCUUUGAAGUGUGGACGCCAGUCUGCAUGGAGCCGACCUUGAAAUACCACCCUUUAAUGUUUGAUGUUCUAACGUUGGCCCGUAAUCCGGGUUGCGGACAGUGUCUGGUGGGUAGUUUGACUGGGGCGGUCUCCUCCUAAAGAGUAACGGAGGAGCACGAAGGUUGGCUAAUCCUGGUCGGACAUCAGGAGGUUAGUGCAAUGGCAUAAGCCAGCUUGACUGCGAGCGUGACGGCGCGAGCAGGUGCGAAAGCAGGUCAUAGUGAUCCGGUGGUUCUGAAUGGAAGGGCCAUCGCUCAACGGAUAAAAGGUACUCCGGGGAUAACAGGCUGAUACCGCCCAAGAGUUCAUAUCGACGGCGGUGUUUGGCACCUCGAUGUCGGCUCAUCACAUCCUGGGGCUGAAGUAGGUCCCAAGGGUAUGGCUGUUCGCCAUUUAAAGUGGUACGCGAGCUGGGUUUAGAACGUCGUGAGACAGUUCGGUCCCUAUCUGCCGUGGGCGCUGGAGAACUGAGGGGGGCUGCUCCUAGUACGAGAGGACCGGAGUGGACGCAUCACUGGUGUUCGGGUUGUCAUGCCAAUGGCACUGCCCGGUAGCUAAAUGCGGAAGAGAUAAGUGCUGAAAGCAUCUAAGCACGAAACUUGCCCCGAGAUGAGUUCUCCCUGAGACUUAGAGUCUCCUGAAGGAACGUUGAAGACGACGACGUUGAUAGGCCGGGUGUGUAAGCGCAGCGAUGCGUUGAGCUAACCGGUACUAAUGAACCGUGAGGCUUAACCUUACAACGCCGAAG
rnacentral:rRNA from 1 species